AUUCAUACAGUACCGUCAGCCAACCACACGUGGUUGGGUUUCUUCCUAUAUAAAAGCAGUUUACAACCCAUAGGGCAGUCUUCCUGCACGCGGCAUGGCUGGGUCAGAGUUGCCUCCAUUGUCCAAUAUUCCU
rnacentral:rRNA from 1 species